rnacentral:rRNA from 1 species
CGCGUAGGCGGCUUGGUAAGUCAUCUGUGAAAUCCCGGUGCUCAACGCCGGGGCUGCAGGUGAGACUGCCUGGCUGGAGCUUGGUAGGGGCGAGUGGAAUUCCCGGUGUAGCGGUGGAAUGCGUAGAGAUCGGGAAGAACACCAGUGGCGAAGGCGGCUCGCUGGGCCAAUGCUGACGCUGAUGCGCGAAAGCGUGGGGAGCAAACA